rnacentral:lncRNA from 1 species
CUCCACUGAAAAUGAAAAGAAAGAUUUUACAGAUGUGGGUCCUCCGAGUCUGGGAAGAGUCUCAGGAUUUGUACUGACACGGAUACUUGGUGUCAUCAUUUAGAAAAAGUGACAUGUUCAUUUCUUCAAAACAUGCAUGUGGUUUUUGACAGAUAACUCGUAAUUUGAGACAUACAGAUGAAUCUUAAAAACUAGGGGAAAGUAGAAAGUUUUAUUUAAAGACAGCUCGAAUUCAAAACAAGAUAAAUAUAUCUCUGAACAGAAGCACAAAUACUGAGUUUGGGGCGAAAAAGCAGACAGUGCUGGGUGAGAGGGGACUCUUUCCUGUUUCAAGGACUGAAAGUAUUCCACGUGGGAGCGAGGCGGGGCAGAGGGCAUCUCGGUGCUCCGCCCUUCCCCAGGCCUUGACGGAAGUGUCCCGAGCACUCCCGGAAGUCACAGUUUAUGUGGUGCCUGGAUCUGCCUAUGGAUGAGUCCCUGUGAAAUAAGCAGGAAGUGGAUGGAGAUGAACAAAGGUAGCGGCCUCUUUGGAAUUGACGAGGACCUGUAUUCCGCAUGAAGUAGGAGACUCAGCCGAUAAUGGAGAAUAAUGAGCAUGAGGGAAAAGAAGAGAUGUAAAGGAGGAGGAAGCGGAUACAAAAGGCUUCUG